AGCGUACACGGUGGAUGCCCUGGCAGUCAGAGGCGAUGAAGGACGUGCUAAUCUGCGAUAAGCGUCGGUAAGGUGAUAUGAACCGUUAUAACCGGCGAUUUCCGAAUGGGGAAACCCAGUGUGAUUCGUCACACUAUCAUUAACUGAAUCCAUAGGUUAAUGAGGCGAACCGGGGGAACUGAAACAUCUAAGUACCCCGAGGAAAAGAAAUCAACCGAGAUUCCCCCAGUAGCGGCGAGCGAACGGGGAGCAGCCCAGAGCCUGAAUCAGUGUGUGUGUUAGUGGAAGCGUCUGGAAAGGCGUGCGAUACAGGGUGACAGCCCCGUACACAAAAAUGCACAUACUGUGAGCUCGAUGAGUAGGGCGGGACACGUGGUAUCCUGUCUGAAUAUGGGGGGACCAUCCUCCAAGGCUAAAUACUCCUGACUGACCGAUAGUGAACCAGUACCGUGAGGGAAAGGCGAAAAGAACCCCGGCGAGGGGAGUGAAAAAGAACCUGAAACCGUGUACGUACAAGCAGUGGGAGCACGCUUAGGCGUGUGACUGCGUACCUUUUGUAUAAUGGGUCAGCGACUUAUAUUCUGUAGCAAGGUUAACCGAAUAGGGGAGCCGAAGGGAAACCGAGUCUUAACUGGGCGUUAAGUUGCAGGGUAUAGACCCGAAACCCGGUGAUCUAGCCAUGGGCAGGUUGAAGGUUGGGUAACACUAACUGGAGGACCGAACCGACUAAUGUUGAAAAAUUAGCGGAUGACUUGUGGCUGGGGGUGAAAGGCCAAUCAAACCGGGAGAUAGCUGGUUCUCCCCGAAAGCUAUUUAGGUAGCGCCUCGUGAAUUCAUCUCCGGGGGUAGAGCACUGUUUCGGCAAGGGGGUCAUCCCGACUUACCAACCCGAUGCAAACUGCGAAUACCGGAGAAUGUUAUCACGGGAGACACACGGCGGGUGCUAACGUCCGUCGUGAAGAGGGAAACAACCCAGACCGCCAGCUAAGGUCCCAAAGUCAUGGUUAAGUGGGAAACGAUGUGGGAAGGCCCAGACAGCCAGGAUGUUGGCUUAGAAGCAGCCAUCAUUUAAAGAAAGCGUAAUAGCUCACUGGUCGAGUCGGCCUGCGCGGAAGAUGUAACGGGGCUAAACCAUGCACCGAAGCUGCGGCAGCGACGCUUAUGCGUUGUUGGGUAGGGGAGCGUUCUGUAAGCCUGCGAAGGUGUGCUGUGAGGCAUGCUGGAGGUAUCAGAAGUGCGAAUGCUGACAUAAGUAACGAUAAAGCGGGUGAAAAGCCCGCUCGCCGGAAGACCAAGGGUUCCUGUCCAACGUUAAUCGGGGCAGGGUGAGUCGACCCCUAAGGCGAGGCCGAAAGGCGUAGUCGAUGGGAAACAGGUUAAUAUUCCUGUACUUGGUGUUACUGCGAAGGGGGGACGGAGAAGGCUAUGUUGGCCGGGCGACGGUUGUCCCGGUUUAAGCGUGUAGGCUGGUUUUCCAGGCAAAUCCGGAAAAUCAAGGCUGAGGCGUGAUGACGAGGCACUACGGUGCUGAAGCAACAAAUGCCCUGCUUCCAGGAAAAGCCUCUAAGCAUCAGGUAACAUCAAAUCGUACCCCAAACCGACACAGGUGGUCAGGUAGAGAAUACCAAGGCGCUUGAGAGAACUCGGGUGAAGGAACUAGGCAAAAUGGUGCCGUAACUUCGGGAGAAGGCACGCUGAUAUGUAGGUGAAGUCCCUCGCGGAUGGAGCUGAAAUCAGUCGAAGAUACCAGCUGGCUGCAACUGUUUAUUAAAAACACAGCACUGUGCAAACACGAAAGUGGACGUAUACGGUGUGACGCCUGCCCGGUGCCGGAAGGUUAAUUGAUGGGGUCAGCGCAAGCGAAGCUCUUGAUCGAAGCCCCGGUAAACGGCGGCCGUAACUAUAACGGUCCUAAGGUAGCGAAAUUCCUUGUCGGGUAAGUUCCGACCUGCACGAAUGGCGUAAUGAUGGCCAGGCUGUCUCCACCCGAGACUCAGUGAAAUUGAACUCGCUGUGAAGAUGCAGUGUACCCGCGGCAAGACGGAAAGACCCCGUGAACCUUUACUAUAGCUUGACACUGAACAUUGAGCCUUGAUGUGUAGGAUAGGUGGGAGGCUUGGAAGUGUGGACGCCAGUCUGCAUGGAGCCGACCUUGAAAUACCACCCUUUAAUGUUUGAUGUUCUAACGUUGACCCGUAAUCCGGGUUGCGGACAGUGUCUGGUGGGUAGUUUGACUGGGGCGGUCUCCUCCUAAAGAGUAACGGAGGAGCACGAAGGUUGGCUAAUCCUGGUCGGACAUCAGGAGGUUAGUGCAAUGGCAUAAGCCAGCUUGACUGCGAGCGUGACGGCGCGAGCAGGUGCGAAAGCAGGUCAUAGUGAUCCGGUGGUUCUGAAUGGAAGGGCCAUCGCUCAACGGAUAAAAGGUACUCCGGGGAUAACAGGCUGAUACCGCCCAAGAGUUCAUAUCGACGGCGGUGUUUGGCACCUCGAUGUCGGCUCAUCACAUCCUGGGGCUGAAGUAGGUCCCAAGGGUAUGGCUGUUCGCCAUUUAAAGUGGUACGCGAGCUGGGUUUAGAACGUCGUGAGACAGUUCGGUCCCUAUCUGCCGUGGGCGCUGGAGAACUGAGGGGGGCUGCUCCUAGUACGAGAGGACCGGAGUGGACGCAUCACUGGUGUUCGGGUUGUCAUGCCAAUGGCACUGCCCGGUAGCUAAAUGCGGAAGAGAUAAGUGCUGAAAGCAUCUAAGCACGAAACUUGCCCCGAGAUGAGUUCUCCCUGACUCCUUGA
rnacentral:rRNA from 1 species